UUGAUGUAUUUUUUGUAAAUUUCAGUCUUUUUUAGGGCAAGGGGGGGGGGGCAAAUGCUCCCCCUGAACGCCCAAAUGACGCCCCUGGUUAUACAGCUCCCCCUCGAAGAUUUACGUUGUAGUAAAUGUAGUUUAGACUGACUAACGGCCGAUUUCAUAAUGAAGUUAAAGGAGGCUUUAAAUUUAAAGUUGCCUUUAAUUUGAGAUUUUCAGUUUCAUAAUCAAGUUAAAGGGUCCUUUUUAUCAAAAGCCCUCUUUAACUUUAAAGUGCAGAUUUCGGACCUUUAAGUUGCCAAAGUCUCCUUUAAAGGGUACAUAACCUAUUUUGUUGAGUUAAAAACAUAGUUGUUUUUGUAUUAGGCAAUCCAAACCACGUGACCUCUGGUUGGCACACAAACUAACAAAGAGGUUAUGUUUGCAUCUAUUUUUCAAUGAUUUUUCAUUGUUUAUCUUCGUAUUUUGGAUUCAUUUGGAUUUCGUUUCCUGUUUUUGUGAACUUUAUAAACUUUACCACAAUGCAAACUGAUUAUUUAAGGAAAUUAUUAUUGGAAACUCCAGAUGUUGCGAGAAAGGUAGGCGAAACAAUUUUUUUUACUGUUCAUUUUGCCCCGAUAUUUAUCAAUAAUGAUGAAUUUUGCAAGCAAUAACAUUAUUUCUUUUAUUGUUCUAGAUAUUUAUUGAAGCUGAAAAUAAUUGGGGAUUUAGAUCCAUACGCAAUUCAGUCAGAAUUGGAUUUUACAGUAAAGUGCAGUCCAUCAAGUUACUAUUAUAGAUAUUUAUACAUAUCUGGUGGAAUCUGAUAUGUCACAGUUGCUACUCUAAGCAGCAGAUGAAAGCAUACAAAAGCCUUCAGGCACAUAAAUAUUUUACAGCUGGAUUUGUUUUGAAUGGAGUAAAAAUUGUUAAUGAUUUCCUGAUUUCCAUAUUAUUGUCGGAAAGGUGAAGCAUUUCCAAAAAUCUAAUGCUAAACGACUAAAUGCUUGGGUGGGGUGAUAGCCAGUUCUGAUGACAUAGCAAAUUUACAUUGUAUGCGUAUGGCCGGUAAUAGUGAAGUCUGCAGCCAUAUUGCAGCAAUCCUAUUUUUAGCUUAGUAUGCUCAGGGCAAGACAGACGAAGAAGAACCCAAUGUAUGUACAUAUGUUACAGCUACAUGGUUUGGAGAUAGCAACAUAUGCAUUCUCUGAUGAAAAACUAAUGAGUUUUGAAACUGUUCAGUCAGAGUGCUUGUUGCGCUCACUAAACGAAUUGAAAUAUAAAAUGGCUUUGGCAUUGUGUUGCAGCGAUAUGAAAAUGGUUAUUCAUUUUUAAUUAUAAUGUUCUUCUUCAUCAUGAGUAAUUAUGUAUUGGUCUUUUAAAUGUGUAUUUAUUUUUGUAAUUAGUAUCAACUUGUAAUGAUAAUAUACAUUUAUCGUUUAAGGUAUGACUAUGUUUUGACUCUAAAAUAAAUGUUUUAAAAAUCGAA